UACGAAGGGUGCAAGCGUUACUCGGAAUUACUGGGCGUAAAGCGUGCGUAGGUGGUUUGUUAAGUCUGUUGUGAAAGCCCCGGGCUCAACCUGGGAAUGGCAAUGGAUACUGGCAAGCUAGAGUGCGGUAGAGGGUAGUGGAAUUCCCGGUGUAGCGGUGAAAUGCGUAGAGAUCGGGAGGAACACCAGUGGCGAAGGCGGCUACCUGGACCAGCACUGACACUGAGGCGCGAAAGCGUGGGGAGCAAACAGG
rnacentral:rRNA from 1 species